UGGGGAAUUUUGGACAAUGGGCGAAAGCCUGAUCCAGCAAUGCCGCGUGUGUGAAGAAGGCCUUCGGGUUGUAAAGCACUUUUGUCCGGAAAGAAAUCCUUGGCUCUAAUACAGUCGGGGGAUGACGGUACCGGAAGAAUAAGCACCGGCUAACUACGUGCCAGCAGCCGCGGUAAUACGUAGGGUGCAAGCGUUAAUCGGAAUUACUGGGCGUAAAGCGUGCGCAGGCGGUUUGCUAAGACCGAUGUGAAAUCCCCGGGCUCAACCUGGGAACUGCAUUGGUGACUGGCAGGCUAGAGUAUGGCAGAGGGGGGUAGAAUUCCACGUGUAGCAGUGAAAUGCGUAGAGAUGUGGAGGAAUACCGAUGGCGAAGGCAGCCCCCUGGCCAAGUACUGACGCUCAUGCACGAAAGCGUGGGGAGCAAACAGGAUUAGAUACCCUGGUAGUCCACGCCCUAAAACGAUGUCAACUAGUUGUUGGGGGAUUCAUUUCCUUAGUAACGUAGCUAACGCGUGAAGUUGACCGCCUGGGGAGUACGGUCGCAAGAUUAAAACUCAAAUGAAUUGACGGGGUCAUAGCUGUUUCCU
rnacentral:rRNA from 1 species